CGGCGGACGGGUGAGUAACACGUGGGUAACCUACCUAUAAGACUGGGAUAACUCCGGGAAACCGGGGCUAAUACCGGAUAACACAUGAAACCGCAUGGUUUCAUGAUGAAAGACGGUUUUGCUGUCACUUAUAGAUGGACCCGCGGCGUAUUAGCUAGUUGGUAAGGUAACGGCUUACCAAGGCAACGAUACGUAGCCGACCUGAGAGGGUGAUCGGCCACACUGGAACUGAGACACGGUCCAGACUCCUACGGGAGGCAGAGGCAGCAGAA
rnacentral:rRNA from 1 species